rnacentral:rRNA from 1 species
GACGUAGGGCGCGAGCGUUGUCCGGAUUUAUUGGGCGUAAAGAGCUCGUAGGCGGCUUGUUGCGUCGACUGUGAAAACCCGCGGCUUAACUGCGGGCUUGCAGUUGAUACGGGCAGGCUAGAGUUCGGUAGGGGAGACUGGAAUUCCUGGUGUAGCGGUGAAAUGCGCAGAUAUCAGGAGGAACACCGGUGGCGAGGGCGGGUCUCUGGGCCGAUACUGACGCUGAGGAGCGAAAGCGUGGGGAGCGAACAGG